CGAAGUUGAAACAACUUGCCGUGUGCAUUGACAUAGUUACGAAGCCGCCACAGUGAUUAUUUAGGAGUUAUGUCAAGCCACGGACUCUAGAUACGCUCCGUGGUUUAGCAAGAUGAUGUUAAUCGAAGAUGGGCAAAGCUGAUUACCAAUAAGAUUACCAAUUAGAGAGUAAGAUGACAAAUCUAACGGAAUGAACCAGGACCUACCGUAACGCGGUAUGGUGUUUGAAGGACACGUGGAUUUGAUGUUAGUGACGUCACAGCAUGACGUAGGAAAUAUGCUGCUUUCUGAUACUACUUUACCAGCCGCUUUGACGGUUUCUGUGUACAUGCAACAUUGAAAUUACACAAUAAUAUAUAUUAUUUUCAUCAAUCGUAACACAUUUUAAAGGUAAGGACUGCAAUUCCAGCGCAUAUGGUAUAAACAAUGAUUUUCUUAAAUUUUCAAUGGUAUAUUGUUCUGUCUCGAAUGCAUGCGUUGUUCAUAUUUUGAAAAUCUUGUGA